rnacentral:rRNA from 1 species
CGAACGCUGGCGGCGUGGAUAAGACAUGCAAGUCGAGCGCUGACUUGGAGGUAGCAAUAUUUCAAGUUGGAGCGGCGCAAGGGUGCGUAACACGUGGGAAUCUGCCUUGAAGUGUGGGAUAACUCCGAGAAAUCGGAGCUAAUACCGCAUGUGAUCGUAAGAUCAAAGUUGGGGAUCGUAAGACCUGACGCUUUAAGAUGAGCCCGCGGCCUAUCAGCUAGUUGGUGAGGUAAUGGCUCACCAAGGCUAAGACGGGUAGCUGGUCUGAGAGGACGACCAGCCACACUGGAACUGAGACACGGUCCAGACACCUACGGGUGGCAGCAGUCGAGAAUUUUUCUCAAUGGGCGAAAGCCUGAAGGAGCGACGCCGCGUGGGGGAUGAAGGGCCUUCGGCCCGUAAACCCCUGUCAUCUGCGAACAAAUUGUUUCAUCUAACACAUGAAACAUUGAUUGUAGCGAAAGAGGAAGGGACGGCUAACUCUGUGCCAGCAGCAGC